UUACGGCCAUAUCACGUUGAACACACCGGUUCUCGUCCGAUCACCGAAGUUAAGCAACAUCGAGCCUGGUCAGUACUUAGAUGGGUGACCGCUUGGGAAUACCAGGUGCUGUAAG